rnacentral:rRNA from 1 species
CCAGACUCCUACGGGAGGCAGCAGUGAGGAAUAUUGGUCAAUGGGCGGAAGCCUGAACCAGCCAAGUCGCGUGAGGGAAUAAGGCCCUACGGGUCGUAAACCUCUUUUGCCGGGGAGCAAGGGCGGGGACGUGUCCCGGCCCGGAGAGUACCCGGAGAAAAAGCAUCGGCUAACUCCGUGCCAGCAGCCGCGGUAAUACGGAGGAUGCGAGCGUUAUCCGGAUUUAUUGGGUUUAAAGGGUGCGUAGGCGGAAGGUUAAGUCAGCGGUAAAAUGUCGGUGCUCAACACCGGCCUGCCGUUGAAACUGGUCUUCUUGAGUGAGCGAGAAGUAUGCGGAAUGCGUGGUGUAGCGGUGAAAUGCAUAGAUAUCACGCAGAACUCCGAUUGCGAAGGCAGCAUACCGGCGCGCAACUGACGCUCAUGCACGAAAGCGUGGGUAUCGAACAGGAUUAGAUACCCGAGUA